rnacentral:rRNA from 1 species
CCUACGGGAGGCAGCAGUUAGGAAUCUUCGGCAAUGGGGGAAACCCUGACCGAGCGACACUGCUUGGAGGAUGAAGGUUUUCGGAUCGUAAACUCCUGAACGAGGGACGAAUAAUGACGGUACCUCGCUAAUAGCACCGGCUAACUCCGUGCCAGCAGCCGCGGUAAUACGGAGGGUGCAAGCGUUAUCCGGAAUCACUGGGCGUAAAGGGCGCGUAGGCGGUUUGUUAAGUCCGAUGUUAAAGCGUGAGGCUCAACCUCAUCACGGCGUUGGAUACUGGCGAGCUGGACGGUUGGAGAGGAAGGUAGAAUUACCAGUGUAGCGGUGGAAUGCGUAGAUACUGGUAGGAAUACCCAUUGCGAAGGCAGCCUUCUGGACAACACGUGACGCUGAGGCGCGAAAGUGUGGGGAGCAAACCGGAUUAGAUACCCGGGUAGUCCACACCCUAAACGAUGCAUAGCUUGGUGUCGGCCCGUUGGGGUCGGUGCCGGAGCUAACGCGUUAAGUAUGCCGCCUGGAAAGACGCCCACCGUGG